rnacentral:misc_RNA from 1 species
GCAAACUUGGUCAUUUAGAGGAAGUAAAAGUCGUAACAAGGUUUCCGUAGGUGAACCUGCGGAAGGAUCAUUAUUGAAUAAACUUGGUUAGAUUGUCUGCUGGCUUUAUAACAAAAAAGCAUGUGCACAUCUGAUCCAUUUUUAAUCCCCUGUGCAUCUUGUGUAGGCCUGUAUAACAUAACAUUCAAGUUGGUCACAGCUUGGUUUAGAAAUUGCUGUCUGUCUUCUAUAACGGAUGAGCUAGCUUUUUCUUGUGUUUCAGGUCUAUGUUCUAUACGAUACUCCAUUAAACUGUAUUGAAUUUGCGCAUUUUUGAAAAGUAAUACAACUUUCAACAACGGAUCUCUUGGCUCUCGCAUCGAUGAAGAACGCAGC